rnacentral:tRNA from 1 species
CGUGGCCUAGGGGUUAAGACACCAGGCUGAUAACCAGGGGUCGCAGGUUCGAUCCC